UGCGUCCUAGCCUUCCUGCUGCCGCGCGAAUCCUCCGCUCACCAGGGUGACAUGUAGGGUGUCUACCAUUUACAACACUCACCAGCCGGACAAAAUAUAUUCAAGCCCGUAUGCUGAUGUACGAGAGAAGAGUAGACAAAGAGAGUGUGCGUGUGUGUAAGCGUGUGUGUGUGUGUGAGAGAGAGUGAGAUAGUGUGUGUGUGAGAGAGAGAGAGAGAGAGAGAGAGAGAGAGAGAGAGAGAGAGAGAGAGAGAGAGACAAAAAAACGUAUAAGCCAUAAGACCGAAAGACACACCAAAACGAUCACCUCAAGUAAAGGCAGAGUGCGAGAAAAAGAGAGCGAGAAAGCGUGAAUGAGUAUCAUCAUUCACAAAACCAAAGCGAUUUUCGACGGUACGCGGGAUCAAUCCGAAAGCGAAGAACAGCCUACAGCCAACAACACCAACCGAAAAUAUAAAGAUUCGAGCCGGAAUCAUCGAUGAGAAAAGCGAACUCAAAAGGGAAGAGAAGAAAACGGAAGAAAACGCAUUACACACACGCGCGCGUAAGGAACAACACCCAUACCGAUUCUAGCGCGUAGAAACGUUGCCGCUCGUAUAAGAGUGCUGGGGGAGACAGGGUGAUUGUAAAAUUGCUUUCCCUUCUUCCCUUUGCUCUGGUACGGUAUGCGCUACACAGCGCGCACGACACUUCCACCCUUCGCCGGAACGUACAUUGCUUGUGUGUGAGUGUGUAUCACGCAACGAGCCUUUCAGCGCGGUGACCGCGUACCCAACCGAAAUGCUUGUGUAUUUUCCUCGCCCUUUAUUCCUUCCUCUUUCAACAAAUAUUAAAAUGAGCGAACGCAAAAGAGCGCAAGCAUGAACGAGAGAGAGAGAAAGAGAAAAAGAGAGAUAGAGAGAGGUAGAGGGAAGAAGAAAUCGAGAGCGAUGCGACAGAGCGAAUGAGAGCGAGAGAGCUCUCGUUCUCGCUCUCACUAUCGCUAUGCACUCCGUACAGUGCCCGGUUAUAUCACCGCACUGUUGCUGUUGUUCAUCUUCUCCCUAAUGCUUCCUAAUAGGAGAGAGAGAGAGAGAGAGAGAGAGAAAGAGAGAGAGAGAGAGAGAUAGUACGUAGAGAGUACGUAGAGUAAGCGGGUGUUUAGCCGAGGGGGUGAGCAGAGGAGGUGGUCCGUGUCACGUCGCACGUCACCCGGCUGUCAAGCGCAAGCCCAAACGCAGCCACAUGAAAUGCGUCUGAAAGAAGGAAAGGAAAUGCGAGGAGGGAAGAGCAAGGAGAAAAGACAAGGGUGAUUGAGGCUGUGGAAAAGGAGGGUUGGUGGUUUUGGUGAGCACCACCAUCUCCCACCACCCCCGUAUGUGAUGAUUCGACACGCGCGCGCUCGCCGUAUGUGCGCGACACGACGCGCCAAUGUCGGCCCCGCACGGAACGGAACGAAGCCGUCGCACGCCGACGACAAUGGACCGGAGAGGAAGAGUACCGGAGCAGACGGCUCGAUAUAUACCGUCACAGUUAGUGUGUCCUGUCGGUUUUUCUCCCCGGGUCCGGUCCGGUGUGUGUAUCUCCGAGCCCGUGAGUCUGAGGUGAGAAGCAGCAGCAACAGCAGCAGCAGCAGCAGUGGCAAUACCAGUAGCAGUACGAGCAAACAGCAUCCAAGCAGCAGCAGACGCAGAGUAGUGUCGUGCACAUUGCUUGCUGAGUAACUACAAGCAAAAGUGAAAGAGAGUAAGUGAGAAAGCAGUGCAGCAGGCGCGCGCUACGCCGCCGUCUGUCAAGUGUGUGUGUGUGUGUGUGCAAAGAGAGACGAGGAAGACGCAGGCGAAGGGGUCCGGCUGAGCGCGAAGAAGGAGUUUAAAGCGGUACGCAGUUAAAAACAACCAGUCACCCCUAUCACAGACCACCACCACCCACCAACCGGCUUCAAAAUGAUGAUGGUAAGUGCAAAGAACAGGGCAGUGUUUGUCCGACGUAUUGUUUUACUUGUUUUUUUUUUUUAUUUGUUUGUUUCUUUUCCGUUUUUGGGUUUGAUGUUGUCCUCUGGUUUACUCUUUGUAAUGUGGUUGAUUAUUCUCCUUCUUCAUGAUAUUAUUGUUUUUUUCCUCGUGUAAUGAAAUUAAUAAUACUAGGUAUUGGUGUCGCUUCCCUGAUCGUUUCGUGUUUGCCCAAUCGCUCAACUCAAAUCCGCUUUGACGCACAGAUUUGUCGCCCGAUAGUGGCUUUUCCUUUCCUUGCUGAAAACUUUUCAAUUGUUUGGCCGUACCAAAAAUGCCUGCUAAUCGGUACAAAUGUAACUGUCAAAAUUAUAAAUCUGUCAAAAUCUAAAAUUCGCCGUGUAAUCGCUCCGGGACGGACGAACCAAAGCGCCAAUAGGCCACUCGGGUUAAAGGUUGCUUUGCGGUGAACCCGUCACCGAUUUUUUUAAUGACUGACCCUCUUACACAAUUUCCAUUCACAGUCAAGGUGAAAAAAAUUGAAUGCAAAUUUUCCUCUUACAGUUUUCUUUCUCCCCACUCAAGACAAAUGAAAGUAAAACCAACGAAGAAAAUGGACAGAAAGGAAGUGACCGGUGACGGUGUUGUUGUUGAUUUUUCGCCACGCAUCUGGAAGUAUUAAAGUGCAUGAAAUUUUCGAAUACGAUGUCCCACAGCCUAUCGUACAUAAUCCUACACGCACAGACAUUUUCCCUGCAUACAGCUAAGUAAAAUCUAAGUAAGAAGCGGCCCGUCGGAUGCAUGCCGGAGAGUGGAAAACUUGAGGGAAAUGUGUUUGGCCUCACAAAUGGUGGGAGUAAACGAUAUCAAUAGGGAGCGAUAGCGAAAAGGGGGAGAAAGAGAGAGAAAAA